UUUUUUUUCAAUUUUUUUUUAAAUGUUUAUUUUUUCAGAACACAGACUACUAUUAUGUGGUUAUGUACAUAUGCAGUCAGAAAGACAGCAAGCAGAGGGACAGGCAGAGAGGGAGGCAAAGAGACAAGCAGAGAGACAGCAGGCAGAGAGACAGGCUGAGAGACAGGCAGAGACAGGAGGCACAUACAGGCAGAGAGGCAGGCAGAGAGAGAGGAAAAUAGACAGGGAAAGAGACAGACAGAGAUACAGGAAGAGAGACAGCAGGCACAGGGACAGGCAGAGAGAGAGGCAAAGAGACAGACAGAGAGACCGGAACGACGAGACGAAGGCAGCGAGCAAGAGAGACAGGAAAAGAGACUCACAGAGAUACAGGAACAGAGACAGCAGGCAGAGAGACACAGGAAGAGAGACAGCAAGCAGAGGGACAGGCAGAGAGGGAGGCAAAGAGACAAGCAGAGAGACAGCAGGCAGAGAGACAGGCUGAGAGACAGGCAGAGACAGGAGGCACAUACAGGCAGAGAGGCAGGCAGAGAGAGAGGAAAAUAGACAGGGAAAGAGACAGACAGAGAUACAGGAAGAGAGACAGCAGGCACAGGGACAGGCAGAGAGAGAGGCAAAGAGACAGACAGAGAGACCGGAACGACGAGACGAAGGCAGCGAGCAAGAGAGACAGGAAAAGAGACUCACAGAGAUACAGGAACAGAGACAGCAGGCAGAGAGACACAGGAAGAGAGACAGCAAGCAGAGGGACAGGCAGAGAGGGAGGCAAAGAGACAGACAGAGGCACAGGAAGAGAGACAGGCAAAGAGAAAGGCAGAGGCACAGGAAGAGAGACAGCCGGCAGAGAGGCAGGUAAAGAGACAGGAGGCAGAGAGCCAGGCAGAGAGACAGCAAGCAGAGGGACAGGCAGAGAGGGAGGCAAAGAGACAGACAGAGGCACAGGAAGAGAGACAUCAGGUAGAGGGACAGGCAGAGAGAGAGUCAAAGAGACAGACAGAGUCACAGGAAGAGAGACAUCAGGCAGAGAGACAGGCAGAGAGACACAGGAAGAGAGACAGCAUGCAGAGAGACACAGGAAGAGAGAUAGACAGAGAGACAGGAAGAGAGACAGGAGGCAGAGAGACAGGCAGAGAGACAGCAAGCAGAGGGACAGGCAGAGAGGGAGGCAAAGAGACAGACAGAG
rnacentral:lncRNA from 1 species